rnacentral:hammerhead_ribozyme from 1 species
GUCCAGCCGACGAGUCUCCAAUAGGAUGAAACGUGCGUCCUGGAU